rnacentral:rRNA from 1 species
GUGCACGCUGGCGGUAGGCCUAACCCCUGCCAGUCGAACGGCAGCACAGUAAGAGCUUGCUCUUACGGGUGGCGAGUGGCGGACGGGUGAGGAAUACAUCGGAAUCUACUUUUUCGUGGGGGAUAACGUAGGGAAACUUACGCUAAUACCGCAUACGACCUACGGGUGAAAGCAGGGGAUCUUCGGACCUUGCGCGAUUGAAUGAGCCGAUGUCGGAUUAGCUAGUUGGCGGGGUAAAGGCCCACCAAGGCGACGAUCCGUAGCUGGUCUGAGAGGAUGAUCAGCCACACUGGAACUGAGACACGGUCCAGACUCCUACGGGAGGCAGCGGUGGGGAAUAUUGGACAAUGGGCGCAAGCCUGAUCCAGCCAUACCGCGUGGGUGAAGAAGGCCUUCGGGUUGUAAAGCCCUUUUGUUGGGAAAGAAAAGCAGCAGGUUAAUACCCCGCUGUUCUGACGGUACCCAAAGAAUAAGCACCGGCUAACUUCGUG